UACGGGGGGAGCAAGCGUUGUUCGGAUUUACUGGGCGUAAAGGGCGGGUAGGCGGCCACUGCAAGUCGGUUGUGAAAUCUCCGGGCUUAACCCGGAAAGGUCAACCGAUACUGCAGGGCUAGAGUGCAGAAGGGGCAACUGGAAUUCUCGGUGUAGCGGUGAAAUGCGUAGAUAUCGAGAGGAACACCAGUGGCGAAAGCGGGUUUCUGGGCGACACCUGACGCUGAGGCACGAAAGCCAGGGGAGCAAACGGG
rnacentral:rRNA from 1 species